GAUUAACGCUGGCGGCGUGCCUAACACAUGCAAGUCGAGCGGCAGCGAGUUUUACACUGAAUUCUGGAAGCUUCUAGUUGAAAGAGAAGAUUUAUUCAAGAAUUUUGUGUAAAAUGUCGGCGAGCGGCGGACGGCUGAGUAACGCGUGGGAACGUACCCCAAAGUGAGGGAUAACGCAUCGAAAGGUGUGCUAAUACCGCAUAUGGUCUUCGGAUUAAAGCCUUCGGGCGCUUUGGGAACGGCCUGCGUAAGAUUAGAUAGUUGGUGGGGUAAUGGCCUACCAAGUCGACGAUCUUUACCUGGUUUGAGAGGAUGAUCAGUCAGACUGGAACUGAGACACGGUCCAGACUCCUACGGGAGGCAGCAGUGAGGAAUCUUCCACAAUGGGCGAAAGCCUGAUGGAGCAACGCCGCGUGCAGGAUGAAGGCCUUCGGGUUGUAAACUGCUUUUAUAAGUGAGGAUUAUGACAGUAACUUAUGAAUAAGGAUCGGCUAACUACGUG
rnacentral:rRNA from 1 species